AUGGGGUCCUCAACUGUAGCCGGCAUCCUCCUCUCCUCCGAUAAUACAAAUACCAUGGCCCCCGCCGUGAUGGCUUCGUCGGCUACCACCGUCGCACCCUUCCAGGGGCUCAAGUCCACAGCCGGCCUGCCCGUCAGCCGCCGCUCCAGCGGCAGCCUCGGCAGCGUCAGCAACGGCGGAAGGAUCAGGUGCAUGCAGGUGUGGCCAAUUGAGGGCAUCAAGAAGUUCGAGACCCUGUCUUACUUGCCACCCCUCUCCACGGAAGCCCUCCUGAAGCAGGUCGACUACCUGAUCCGCUCCAAGUGGGUGCCCUGCCUCGAGUUCAGCAAGGUUGGCUUCGUCUUCCGUGAGCACAACAGCUCCCCCGGGUACUACGACGGUCGAUACUGGACAAUGUGGAAGCUGCCUAUGUUCGGGUGCACCGACGCCACACAGGUGCUCAACGAGGUGGAGGAGGUCAAGAAGGAGUACCCUGACGCCUAUGUCCGCGUCAUCGGCUUCGACAACCUGCGCCAGGUGCAGUGCGUCAGCUUCAUCGCCUUCAGGCCACCGGGUUGCGAGGAGUCCGGCAAGGCCUAA
rnacentral:rRNA from 1 species